UUUGAAGAAAAAGAGCACCAAAGUCCAACACAACCGGGCAAAAUUGGCCAUUUUAGAGUCUUUGCUCUGUUCCCGUUACACAACAAUAAGCAAAGAGGGGUAGCUGUAAUAUGCCCAAUUUGCCCGACCCGUUAGUAAAAUAAAUCAAAUGAAAAACAAAAUAAAAGUCCAAUAUUCAAUCCAAAUGUAUGGGCCCAACGUGGCCCGACCUAGUUUAACCUGAAACUCUAGCCUAGCCUAAACCCAACUAGCUUAAACCCAAUUAGCCUAGCCUCAUAUAAUCCGCGCAUUGCAGUAUAGCCCCCACUUUAGCUUAAUCUUAUUUAUUCCCUAUUAAUUCGAUUUUGUUUGUAAUUUAAUCCUUCGUUUUAUUUAAAUUUUUUAGAAAAUUUGUUGUUAUUUUUAUCAUCAUACUUAUUCUUAUUAUUGUAUUAUUAUAUUUUUUAUUUACUAUAUUUGUUUUUAUAUAUAA
rnacentral:lncRNA from 1 species